rnacentral:ncRNA from 1 species
AAGCAAAGACUUCACCUUCUACCUUUUGCAUAAUGAUUUAGCCAGUCAAACCGGACAAAACGAAUUAAAGCCCGUCUUCCCGAAAUUAAGUGAGCUAUUGUAGAACAGUUGACAGAACAAACUCGUCUGUGUAGCAAAACAGUGAGAUGAUUUUACAAUAGAGGUGAAAAGCCUAUCGAACUUAAUGAUAGCUGGUUGUCCAAAAAAUGAAUUUAAGUUCGACUUUAAAUUUAACCUAAGUACUUAUAGACAUUAUUUAAAUUUAAAUGUUACUCAAAAGAGGGACAACUCUUUUGAUAUGUAGACAAACUUUUCUAGAGGAUAAUCAAACUCACACAAAACAUUGUAGGCCUAAAAGCAGCCAUCAAUUAAGAAAGCGUUAAAGCUCAAACUUAUCUAAUACUUAAUACCUAUAAUUAAUCAAAAUCCCUAAUCUUAUAUUGGACAAUUUUAUAUUUAUUUAGAAGGUAUAAUGCUAAUAUGAGUAACCUGAAUAUAUUCUCCUUGCACAAGCAUAAAUACAGAUCGGAACAACCGCUUACACUUAACCAAACAAUAAUUAUAACUACACACUAGUACCUUACUAUACAUUUUGUUAACCCAACCCAGGUGUGCAUGUAAAGGAAAGAUUAAAAGGAAUAAAAGGAACUCGGCAAACAUGAACCCCGCCUGUUUACCAAAAAACAUCACCUCUAGCAUUUACCAGUAUUAGAGGCACUGCCUGCCCGGUGAGUUAUGACUUUAAUGGCCGCGGUAUCCUGACCGUGCAAAGGUAGUAUAAUCACUUGUCUCUUAAUUGGAGACUAGUAUGAAUGGCACCACGAGGGUUCAACUGUCUCUUAUUCCUAAUCAGUGAAAUUG